rnacentral:rRNA from 1 species
CGGCAACAGCUCAAAUUUGAAAUCUGGCGCAAGCCCGAAUUGUAAUUUGUAGAGGAUGUUUCUGGCGCGGCGCCUUCCGAGUUCCCUGGAACGGGACGCCAUAGAGGGUGAGAGCCCCGU